rnacentral:miRNA from 1 species
UGAGAUCAGCGUGAAAACCAAUU